AUUUUUAUUGAACCGAUGACUUUAUAUUAUGUGUUAUGGUGAUAAUCUGACUCAUCGUCCAUUCGCUUGCCAAGUGUUGCCCACGUGGUGAGCUCCUUUGCCCACGUAAGAUUGGCCGAGGCCUCGUUCUGUUCAUGCAUUUGGCGUGAUCCCGCACAAAUGCAACGCAACCGAUUCGGAAUUAUAUAAUAGGGGGAGUGGAGAGAGAGCGAGUGGGGAGGAUGCAAAUGUUCAUCCUCCUCCACCUCUCUCUCUCUCUCUCUCUCUCUCUCUCUCUGCCUCGCCCUCUCUUCGACCCACGGUCUCCUCGAGACUGAUGUCAACAUUGAUCGUUUCUGGGGCGAGGGUUCAAGCGUCGUCAGUCCCUCGUCGUUGUUGUCGGUCUCCCCUGCUUCCUCCGACAAGCCCAUGUGAUUCUUGAUCAACAAGUGUGACGCCAUCGCCCUCUGGGCGUACCCUUGUAGCGGCGGGUAUCGACAGCCUGACUCGCUAUAUACCAGGUGCGACGUACGGAGUGAAUUCUGGUGCUUCUAGUUUUCUCGGUUUGAUUUAUCCUGUCAUAUGGUUUUGUCUUUCCUAGCAAGAAAAUACAGUGGGUUUCUUGA